UACGUAGGGUGCGAGCGUUAACCGGAAUUACUGGGCGUAAAGCGUGCGCAGGCGGUUUGUUAAGUCUGAUGUGAAAGCCCCGGGCUCAACCUGGGAACUGCAUUGGAAACUGGCAAGCUCGAGUAUGGCAGAGGGGGGUGGAAUUCCGCGUGUAGCAGUGAAAUGCGUAGAGAUGCGGAGGAACACCGAUGGCGAAGGCAGCCCCCUGGGCCAAUACUGACGCUCAGGCACGAAAGCGUGGGGAGCAAACAGG
rnacentral:rRNA from 1 species